CACUUUCUUACACCAUACACAAAAAUGAUCUCAAAAUGGAUGAAAGACUUAAAUAUGAGACCUGAAACCAUAAAAAUCUAGAAGAAAGCAUGGGCAGGAAUGUCUCUGACAUUGCCAUAGCAACACUUUACUAGAUAUGUCUCCUGAGGCAAGGAAAAUAAAAGCAACAAUAAACUAUUGUGAUUCUAUCAAAAUAAAAAGCUUCUGCACAGUGAAAGAAACAACCAACAAGACUAAAAGACAACACAUUGAAUGAUAGAAGAUAAUUGCAAAUGACAUCUCUGAUAAAAGGUUAGUAUCCAAUAUUUAUAAAGUACUCAGACAA